AAGCUGUGUAAAUGGGACUUGUGUAAGAGUCAGCGUCUCAGGGCUGUAGGUGAAGAAAAUGUCAAGUCCAUGUCCUCCUGGAGCUCUUUCUGGGGAGCUGCAGUUAUAUAUGAAGGAAAGAGAGUUGAUGCUAUGGGGCUUUCUCAAGGUCACUCUGGUGUAAGUGGUGGAGCUGAGCUUCAAGCCCUGUCUUCCCAGCUCCGAGUUCCCCUGUGUGGUGAUAAGUUGGUUGUUCUGGAAGUGGAUGGAGCUACUGUGUGAUCUGAGAGCAUGGGAUGUCCAGAGCUUUCAGUCAGCAUCUGCCUGGAGAUGUCAGAGAAGUCUUCUCUAGAGCCGGUAUCCAGGAGGAAUUUGCGGAUCAGAUGGCAGGCAGGAGUUCGGAAGCAACAGUAAGAGGACUCAGCAUGAGGACAAAAUUGGAAGGGAGACUCGUGGGCCCAUAUCAGAGACUCGAAGGAAAAGAGAAGAUGCUGGGAGGGCAACCUCGACCCUCUAGCUCCUUAUCCCAGCGGGAAGUAGAACGCCUAGCGGGCAGCGGGCACACUGCCUCCUUCCAGAGGCCACAGACCUUCGAGUUUGCAGUGUGGGCUCUCUUCCAGGCUCCUGGUCUCCAAAGUUCUCCUGUGCCCUGUGAGUGCUCCCCAGAGCCCACAGAGCUAACCCUGACAGCCUACUGAGAGCCCCCUUCCUGCUAGUUCUGGGUCCAUCAUAUUUCUACAACAGCCUUCCAACAUUUUUUAUUGAAUAUAUGAACGAAUAAGAAUUUUCCAGUACUCAAUUCCAAUAUAUGUUAAUUUCCUUAUAAAUGGAAAUAUGUUAAAACACAUGAAAUUAUAAAUAAAUCUAUAGAAUAUUGAAA